GUUGGGUAGGGGAGCGUUCUGUAAGCCUGCGAAGGUGGCCUGUGAGGGUUGCUGGAGGUAUCAGAAGUGCGAAUGCUGACAUAAGUAACGAUAAAGCGGGUGAAAAGCCCGCUCGCCGGAAGACCAAGGGUUCCUGUCCAACGUUAAUCGGGGCAGGGUGAGUCGACCCCUAAGGCGAGGCCGAAAGGCGUAGUCGAUGGGAAACGGGUUAAUAUUCCCGUACUUGGUGUUACUGCGAAGGGGGGACGGAGAAGGCUAUGUUGGCCGGGCGACGGUUGUCCCGGUUUAAGCGUGUAGGUGUGUGUUCCAGGUAAAUCCGGUUCACUUUAACACUGAGGCGUGACGACGAGGCACUACGGUGCUGAAGCAACAAAUGCCCUGCUUCCAGGAAAAGCCUCUAAGCAUCAGGUAACAUCAAAUCGUACCCCAAACCGACACAGGUGGUCAGGUAGAGAAUACCAAGGCGCUUGAGAGAACUCGGGUGAAGGAACUAGGCAAAAUGGUGCCGUAACUUCGGGAGAAGGCACGCUGACACGUAGGUGAAGUGAUUUACUCAUGGAGCUGAAGUCAGUCGAAGAUACCAGCUGGCUGCAACUGUUUAUUAAAAACACAGCACUGUGCAAACACGAAAGUGGACGUAUACGGUGUGACGCCUGCCCGGUGCCGGAAGGUUAAUUGAUGGGGUCAGCGCAAGCGAAGCUCCUGAUCGAAGCCCCGGUAAACGGCGGCCGUAACUAUAACGGUCCUAAGGUAGCGAAAUUCCUUGUCGGGUAAGUUCCGACCUGCACGAAUGGCGUAAUGAUGGCCAGGCUGUCUCCACCCGAGACUCAGUGAAAUUGAACUCGCUGUGAAGAUGCAGUGUACCCGCGGCAAGACGGAAAGACCCCGUGAACCUUUACUAUAGCUUGACACUGAACAUUGAGCCUUGAUGUGUAGGAUAGGUGGGAGGCUUUGAAGUGUGGACGCCAGUCUGCAUGGAGCCGACCUUGAAAUACCACCCUUUAAUGUUUGAUGUUCUAACGUGGACCCGUUACCCGGGUUGCGGACAGUGUCUGGUGGGUAGUUUGACUGGGGCGGUCUCCUCCUAAAGAGUAACGGAGGAGCACGAAGGUUGGCUAAUCCUGGUCGGACAUCAGGAGGUUAGUGCAAUGGCAUAAGCCAGCUUGACUGCGAGCGUGACGGCGCGAGCAGGUGCGAAAGCAGGUCAUAGUGAUCCGGUGGUUCUGAAUGGAAGGGCCAUCGCUCAACGGAUAAAAGGUACUCCGGGGAUAACAGGCUGAUACCGCCCAAGAGUUCAUAUCGACGGCGGUGUUUGGCACCUCGAUGUCGGCUCAUCACAUCCUGGGGCUGAAGUAGGUCCCAAGGGUAUGGCUGUUCGCCAUUUAAAGUGGUACGCGAGCUGGGUUUAGAACGUCGUGAGACAGUUCGGUCCCUAUCUGCCGUGGGCGCUGGAGAACUGAGGGGGGCUGCUCCUAGUACGAGAGGACCGGAGUGGACGCAUCACUGGUGUUCGGGUUGUCAUGCCAAUGGCACUGCCCGGUAGCUAAAUGCGGAAGAGAUAAGUGCUGAAAGCAUCUAAGCACGAAACUUGCCCCGAGAUGAGUUCUCCCUGAGACUUAGAGUCUCCUGAAGGAACGUUGAAGACGACGACGUUGAUAGGCCGGGUGUGUAAGCGCAGCGAUGCGUUGAGCUAACCGGUACUAAUGAACCGUGAGGCUUAACCUUACAACGCCGAAG
rnacentral:rRNA from 1 species